AUUGAACGCUGGCGGCAUGCCUUACACAUGCAAGUCGAACGGUAACGGGUCCUUCGGGAUGCCGACGAGUGGCGAACGGGUGAGUAAUAUAUCGGAACGUGCCCAGUAGUGGGGGAUAACUGCUCGAAAGAGCAGCUAAUACCGCAUACGACCUGAGGGUGGAAGGGGGGGAUUGCAAGACCUCUCGCUAUUGGAGCGGCCGAUAUCAGAUUAGCUAGUUGGUGGGGUAAAGGCCUACCAAGGCAACGAUCAGUAGUUGGUCUGAGAGGACGACCAGCCACACUGGGACUGAGACACGGCCCAGACUCCUACGGGAGGCAGCAGUGGGGAAUUUUGGACAAUGGGCGCAAGCCUGAUCCAGCAAUGCCGCGUGCAGGAAGAAGGCCUUCGGGUUGUAAACUGCUUUUGUCAGGGAAGAAAUCUUCUGGGCUAAUACCCCGGGAGGAUGACGGUACCUGAAGAAUAAGCACCGGCUAACUACGUGCCAGCCGCCGCUGUAA
rnacentral:rRNA from 1 species